CAACAUUUGAAGACAGUUCGCCGUCAUUGUCAGUUGUAAAAUAUUUUUUUCUAAAGUAAUUAAAAACUUAAGAAGUAGAGGAUAGGUUGAGGAAAUUAAAUACUCAAUAAAGGCAAUACAGUAAUAAAUAAGACACAAAAUACGAUACGAGUCACUCCAUCAUUGACUUCAGACAACGUUUAACUUAUUCCACAUAAAUUUAAGUGUAUAAAAAUUAUCAUGGAUUCCAUCAAAAGAGUGCAAAAAUUCAUCAAACAUUGGUAUAUAAGAUACCUGGUUUCGACUGAACUUUACAUGGUUGAACCUUGGGAAAAGGUAGUAAUACAUGUGCUACUUGCUUUGGUCUUCAUUUUAUUUUGGUAUUUCAAUUAUGCAAUCAUCGUUAAUGGAAUCUCUCAGCUGAGGGGCACACCACAAAUAGAAGAUUUAGGAGCAACUUUACAAUAAUUUAAUGUUAAAUUGAUGAUAUUGUUAUUAUAAUGUCUUACAUUGUUGAAUAAUUUUUAUUGUUAAUUAAUAAAUGAUAUGAAAUUUCA